rnacentral:sRNA from 1 species
GAUGGUGGUGAAGGGAUUUCCGGCCAUGGUGUUGACGACAUAAUUGGCGUAUGAGGUGCGGGUGACCAGCGGAAGAGGGAGGAGGGAUUCUACCAAGCAGAGAGCGACAUAGUUGAGAUGUGGGUUUCGGACAGAGACGGCCCAGCCAAAGGGCCGUUCUCAUAUUAUCGCGAGUUAAGGCGGCUUCGUUUAGUGAUUGUCAUUAGUUCGUCCUGCCAAAUACCUUGUUAUGCUGUCAGUUGUUGCUGCUAUUAGUGUACUGCGAGUAUUGUUCAUGAUUCUGUCCAGCACUCUCAGCGUUGGAUGGAGGUUGGUAGUUGGUUUGGCUCGACGUCAUUAGUUUUCCCGAUACGAAGCCAAAUAUUAUAUAUGGAUUCUGGCCUGGAAAAGAAAAAGAGAAAAAAAAAAAAAAAAAAGAAAAAUAUUUACAGCAAAUUACACACCUAGCACAGCCAAAUAUCUGAUAAUUUCACAGCACUCAUAGCUAAUCCCGAUGGUCAAGAACAGUCAAAGUCGGAGGAGCUUAUAGCCACUAGUUAUUUACUCCGCAAAAGGCGGCGUUGCUCUUCGCUCUUCGCUCGUCACACUCCAUGAAAUGUAAGUCCCCGAAGAAACCAGCAAUUCCACUGUUCCCAUGCUAUCAUACAUUUGAUACUAGUAUAAACAAACGCACAUGUAAAAUAUACAACAUCUCGUCCACAAGCCGAAUAGUAGACAAGAAACACCAA